GGGUUGUGAGGUUAAGCGAAUAAGCGUACACGGUGGAUGCCUAGGCAAUCAGAGGCGAUGAAGGACGUGCUAAUCUGCGAAAAGCGUCGGUAAGGUGAUAUGAACCGUUAUACCCGACGAUAUCCGAAUGGGGAAACCCAGUAUCCAAUGGAUACUAUCAUUAACUGAAUCCAUAGGUUAAUGAGGCGAACCGGGAGAACUGAAACAUCUCAGUACCCCGAGGAAAAGAAAUCAACCGAGAUUCCCCUAGUAGCGGCGAGCGAACGGGGAGCAGCCCAGAGUCUUAAUCAAUAGCAGUGUCAGGAGAACGGUCUGGAAAGUCCGGCAGUAAAGGGUGAUAGCCCCGUAUCUGAAGAUGCUGUUAUUGUGAACUCGACGAGUAGGGCGGGACACGUGUUAUCCUGUCUGAAUAUGGGGGGACCAUCCUCCAAGGCUAAAUACUCCUGAUUGACCGAUAGUGAACCAGUACCGUGAGGGAAAGGCGAAAAGAACCCCGGCGAGGGGAGUGAAAAAGAACCUGAAACCGUGUACGUACAAGCAGUAGGAGCCNNNNNNNNNNNNNNNNNNNNNNNNNNNNNNNNNNNNNNNNNNNNNNNNNNNNNNNNNNNNNNNNNNAUGGGGUGACUGCGUACCUUUUGUAUAAUGGGUCAGCGACUUAUAUUCUGUAGCAAGGUUAACCGUAUAGGGGAGCCGUAGGGAAACCGAGUCUUAACUGGGCGAAUGAGUUGCAGGGUAUAGACCCGAAACCCGGUGAUCUAUCCAUGGGCAGGUUGAAGGUUGGGUAACACUAACUGGAGGACCGAACCGACUAAUGUUGAAAAAUUAGCGGAUGACUUGUGGAUGGGGGUGAAAGGCCAAUCAAACCGGGAGAUAGCUGGUUCUCCCCGAAAGCUAUUUAGGUAGCGCCUCGUGAACUCAUCUUCGGGGGUAGAGCACUGUUUCGACUAGGGGGUCAUCCCGACUUACCAACUCGAUGCAAACUGCGAAUACCGAAGAAUGUUAUCACGGGAGACACACGGCGGGUGCUAACGUCCGUCGUGAAGAGGGAAACAACCCAGACCGCCAGCUAAGGUCCCAAAGUCAUGGUUAAGUGGGAAACGAAGUGGGAAGGCUCAGACAGCCAGGAUGUUGGCUUAGAAGCAGCCAUCAUUUAAAGAAAGCGUAAUAGCUCACUGGUCGAGUCGGCCCGCGCGGAAGAUGUAACGGGGCUAAACCAUGCACCGAAGCUGCGGCAGCGACACAAUGUGUUGUUGGGUAGGGGAGCGUUCUGUAAGCCUGCGAAGGUGUACUGUGAGGUAUGCUGGAGGUAUCAGAAGUGCGAAUGCUGACAUAAGUAACGAUAAUGCGGGUGAAAAACCCGCACGCCGGAAGACCAAGGGUUCCUGUCCAACGUUAAUCGGGGCAGGGUGAGUCGACCCCUAAGGCGAGGCUGAAAAGCGUAGUCGAUGGGAAACGGGUUAAUAUUCCCGUACUGGUGGUAACUGCGAUGGGGGAACGGAGAAGGCUAGGUUGUCCGGGCGACGGUCGUCCCGGUUCAAGCAGGUAGGCAGAGUGAUUAGGCAAAUCCGGUCACUUAAUGCUGAGAUGUGAUGACGAACCACUAAGGUGGUGAAGCAAUUGAUGCCCCGCUUCCAGGAAAAGCCUCUAAGCUUCAGGUUACCAACAAUCGUACCCCAAACCGACACAGGUGGUCAGGUAGAGAAUACUCAGGCGCUUGAGAGAACUCGGGUGAAGGAACUAGGCAAAAUGGUGCCGUAACUUCGGGAGAAGGCACGCUGGCGGUAGGUAAAGUCCCUCGCGGACGGCGCUGAAGCCAGUCGAAGAUACCAGCUGGCUGCAACUGUUUAUUAAAAACACAGCACUGUGCAAACACGAAAGUGGACGUAUACGGUGUGACGCCUGCCCGGUGCUGGAAGGUUAAUUGAUGGGGUUAGCCGCAAGGCGAAGCUCCUGAUCGAAGCCCCAGUAAACGGCGGCCGUAACUAUAACGGUCCUAAGGUAGCGAAAUUCCUUGUCGGGUAAGUUCCGACCUGCACGAAUGGCGUAAUGAUGGCCAGGCUGUCUCCACCCGAGACUCAGUGAAAUUGAACUCGCUGUGAAGAUGCAGUGUACCCGCGGCAAGACGGAAAGACCCCGUGAACCUUUACUAUAGCUUGACACUGAACAUUGAGCCUUGAUGUGUAGGAUAGGUGGGAGGCUUUGAAGUGUGGACGCCAGUCUGCAUGGAGCCAACCUUGAAAUACCACCCUUUAACGUUUGAUGUUCUAACCUAGGCCCAUAAACUGGGUCGGGGACCGUGUCUGGUGGGUAGUUUGACUGGGGCGGUCUCCUCCUAAAGAGUAACGGAGGAGCACGAAGGUUGGCUAAGCAUGGUCGGACAUCAUGCGGUUAGUGCAAAGGCAUAAGCCAGCUUGACUGCGAGAGUGACGGCUCGAGCAGGUACGAAAGUAGGUCUUAGUGAUCCGGUGGUUCUGAAUGGAAGGGCCAUCGCUCAACGGAUAAAAGGUACUCCGGGGAUAACAGGCUGAUACCGCCCAAGAGUUCAUAUCGACGGCGGUGUUUGGCACCUCGAUGUCGGCUCAUCACAUCCUGGGGCUGAAGUAGGUCCCAAGGGUAUGGCUGUUCGCCAUUUAAAGUGGUACGCGAGCUGGGUUUAGAACGUCGUGAGACAGUUCGGUCCCUAUCUGCCGUGGGCGUUGGAAGAUUGAGAGGGGUUGCUCCUAGUACGAGAGGACCGGAGUGAACGCACCACUGGUGUUCGGGUUGUCAUGCCAAUGGCAUUGCCCGGUAGCUAAGUGCGGAAGAGAUAACCGCUGAAAGCAUCUAAGCGGGAAACUUGCCUCGAGAUGAGUCUUCCCUGUCGCUUUAAGCGACCUAAAGGAACGUUUAAGACUAAGACGUUGAUAGGCUGGGUGUGUAAGCGUAGCGAUACGUUGAGCUAACCAGUACUAAUGAACCGUGAGGCUUAACCUGACAACACCGAAAGUGUUUUG
rnacentral:rRNA from 1 species